CGCGUAGGCGGAUUGGAAAGUUGGGGGUGAAAUCCCAGGGCUCAACCCUGGAACGGCCUCCAAAACUCCCAGUCUUGAGUUCGAGAGAGGUGAGUGGAAUUCCGAGUGUAGAGGUGAAAUUCGUAGAUAUUCGGAGGAACACCAGUGGCGAAGACGGCUCACUGGCUCGAUACUGACGCUGAGGUGCGAAAGUGUGGGGAGCAAACA
rnacentral:rRNA from 1 species